rnacentral:rRNA from 1 species
GACGAACGCUGGCGGCGUGCUUAACACAUGCAAGUCGAACGAUGAUGCCAGCUUGCUGGUGGAUUAGUGGCGAACGGGUGAGUAACACGUGAGCAACCUGCCCCUGACUUCGGGAUAACCGCGGGAAACCGUGGCUAAUACCGGAUAUGACGCGCUAUCGCAUGGUGGUGUGUGGAAAGAUUUAUCGGUUUGGGAUGGGCUCGCGGCCUAUCAGCUUGUUGGUGGGGUGAUGGCCUACCAAGGCGACGACGGGUAGCCGGCCUGAGAGGGUGACCGGCCACACUGGGACUGAGACACGGCCCAGACUCCUACGGGAGGCAGCAGUGGGGAAUAUUGCACAAUGGGCGCAAGCCUGAUGCAGCGACGCCGCGUGAGGGAUGACGGCCUUCGGGUUGUAAACCUCUUUCAGUAGGGAAGAAGGCCUUCGGGUUGACGGUACCUGCAGAAGAAGCGCCGGCUAACUACGUG